rnacentral:lncRNA from 1 species
GAUACCAAUUGGGGACCAAGUAUUCAAAUAGAUGAGUCCCUACGGGGCACAUUUUUUACUUGAACCACAACAAAUGGCAACUUUCAUAUGUGCCUGCCUCAUGAACAUUUAUAGAAUCUUUAAGUUCACAAUAUACACACUGGGCUGGUCUCCAUAUUGUAGCAGACUACUCCAAUAUCUCUUUGGGGUGAGUGCAUCACUCUUCUGCUUAAACAGUCUGUGUCUCAAUUGAACUCUGUCCUUCAAGAAGAUAAGAAUGAAGAAAUCAUCAUAACAUGAUCUAAUGGAUUCAACCUGUGGAAUAAUGCUGUUCAUAGUUAAGAUGGGUCCUCCAACAGCAGUUCAUUUAAUCAAGAUAAUCCUCCAUGGGAAUGCCGAGAAGUCAGUUUCCCAAGUGAUUCUGGAUCCUGUCAAGUAGGCAAUGAACACUAACGAUAACAAUAGAUAGUACAUAACAAUAUUCCAGUAGAUAGAUUUUGGCUCUUUAAUUCCUUUGUGUAAGUAUAGUAUAGUCACCUCUAUUCUUGUUAUAUUUUUAACUUUUUAUUGAUUCUUUGUGAACUUCACAUCCUGCACCGCAGUCCCAUUAAAUCUCUCUGUCCUUUCACACCUGUCCUUGGAACCUCCCUCUAAAAAGAAAACAACAACAAAAAAGUAAAAAUAAUAACAAAACACCACCAACAAAAACACCUUGCCAU